rnacentral:lncRNA from 1 species
AUGAGUAACAGAUGUUUUGAAAGAGCUGGAAGAGAUCAAGGGAGCCCUUAUCUGCAUAUGAUGUUCACAAAGGGCCUGCUGGAACAUCCAAGUCCAGUCUGCACUUGUGAAGCACCUGCUCUGCAGACUGUCAGGUGCAUUACAGCUUGUAUGGCUCUAUGGUUCUUCUGUAGACAAUUGCCAUCUGCGCUUAGAGGCAUUAUUAUCUUUACAACAGAAGCCAAGGUAAACCUACUUGAUGGAAGACUUGCUGGCAGAUCUAAUAUUGCAGUUAUUUCAGAAGUGAGACUGAUUACUGCUGGUUAAAAAUUCUGGGGCUGAAAGAUCUGGACUGAAAUUCCGUAUCCAUGAAAUCAGUAAGGCCAUCAGCAGCAGCACCAGUUUGCCUCGUGCUGCUCUGCUAAUACACCUUAAUCUGUCCUGGGGGAACUCAGCUAGUCAUGGCAUUUCCUCUGCGGCUGUCAGCAGGUAUUUCAGUUGCUGCCACCACUCUCCUGCUUCUCCUAUUGGACACCUGUCUUGCUACAAAUAAAUUGGUAAAAAGACAGCA